CCUUGGGAACAGGACGCAGAAACUCACAGCAAAAGCAACAGACAUGACAGGCUAGAGCAAUCAGAGCCGGUGCCAGGUAUUCAGCACCACAGUAACCUCCCAAGGCAACUCGUCACAUGUACUUUCAACUUACCAUUGGAACAACAACAAAACAUCAGCUUGGAAACCAUUUUUAUCGUCGGCCCAGUCAGGAAUUGAGAAAUUGACAUCUUCUCGUACUGAAGUGAGCAUCUAAGAGCUUUUAAACCAAAUGCUUUCAUUCUGAAAAAAUCCACUGAGGUG